rnacentral:rRNA from 1 species
GACGAACGCUGGCGGUAUGCUUAACACAUGCAAGUCGAACGAGAAGCUUUUUAAUGAUCCUUCGGGUGAACUAAGAAGUGGAAAGUGGCGAACGGGUGAGUAACGCGUGGGUAACCUGCCUCAUGGAAAGGAAUAGCCUCGGGAAACUGGGAGUAAAGCCUUAUAUUAUUGAGUUGUCGCAUGGCAAUUCGAUGAAAACUCCGGUGCCAUGAGAUGGACCCGCGUCCCAUUAGCUAGUUGGUGAGAUAACGGCCCACCAAGGCAACGAUGGGUAACCGGUCUGAGAGGGCGAACGGUCACACUGGAACUGAGACACGGUCCAGACUCCUACGGGAGGCAGCAGUGGGGAAUAUUGCGCAAUGGGGGAAACCCUGACGCAGCAAUACCGCGUGGGUGAAGAAGGUUUUCGGAUCGUAAAACUCUUUUAUUGGGGAAGAAGAAGUGACGGUACCCAAUGAAGAAGUCCCGGCUAACUACGUGCCAGCCGCCGCGGUAACAC